AAUAGAUACCCAGGUAGUCCACGCUGUAAACGUUGGGCGCUAGGUGUGGGGGGCCUCUCCGGUUCUCUGUGCCGCAGCUAACGCAUUAAGCGCCCCGCCUGGGGAGUACGGCCGCAAGGCUAAAACUCAAAGGAAUUGACGGGGGGCCCGCACAAGCGGCGGAGCAUGCGGAUUAAUUCGAUGCAACGCGAAGAACCUUACCUGGGUUUGACAUGGCCGCAAAUCCCGCAGAGAUGUGGGGUCCUUCGGGGCGGUCACAGGUGGUGCAUGGCUGUCGUCAGCUCGUGUCGUGAGAUGUUGGGUUAAGUCCCGCAACGAGCGCAACCCUCGUUCGAUGUUGCCAGCGGGUUAUGUCCGGGGACUCAUCGAAGACUGCCGGGGUCAACUCGGAGGAAGGUGGGGAUGACGUCAAGUCAUCAUGCCCCUUAUGUCCAGGGCUUCACGCAUGCUACAAUGGCCGGUACAAAGGGCUGCGAUACCGUAAGGUGGAGCGAAUCCCAAAAAGCCGUCGUCAGUUCGGAUCGGGGUCUGCAACUCGACCCCG
rnacentral:rRNA from 1 species